rnacentral:tRNA from 1 species
UGGGUGUGUAGGCGGAAGCUCGCUGGCUGGAGCAUCUAGCUGUUAAUUAGGGUUUUGUGGGAUCGAGGCCCAC